UAGUCUGCAACUCACUACAUGAAGCUGGAAUCGCUAGUAAUCGCGAAUCAGAAUGUCGCGGUGAAUACGUUCCCGGGUCUUGUACACACCGCCCGUCACACCAUGGGAGUUGGAAAUGCCCGAAGUCAGUGACCCAACCGAAAGGAGGGAGCUGCCGAAGGUGGAGCCGAUGACUGGGGUGAAGUCGUAACAAGGUAUC
rnacentral:rRNA from 1 species